rnacentral:rRNA from 1 species
AACGCUGGCGGCGUGCCUAAUACAUGCAAGUCGAACGGUCUUUCUAUGGAAGCUUGCUUCCACUGAGAAGAUAGUGGCGAACGGGUGAGUAACACGUGGGUAACCUGCCCAUAAGAGGGGGAUAACAUCCGGAAACGGGUGCUAAUACCGCAUAGUUUUCUUGAUUGCAUGAUUGAGAAAGGAAGACGGCCUUUGUGCUGUCGCUUAUGGAUGGACCCGCGGCGUAUUAGUUAGUUGGUGAGGUAACGGCUCACCAAGACGAUGAUACGUAGCCGACCUGAGAGGGUGAUCGGCCACAUUGGGACUGAGACACGGCCCAAACUCCUACGGGAGGCAGCAGUAGGGAAUCUUCCGCAAUGGACGAAAGUCUGACGGAGCAACGCCGCGUGAGUGAAGAAAGGUUUUCGGAUCGUAAAACUCUGUUGUCAGAGAAGAACAAGUUGGAGAGUAACUGCUCCAGCCUUGACGGUAUCUGACCAGAAAGCCACGGCUAACUACGUGCCAGCAGCCGC